rnacentral:rRNA from 1 species
UAUGUGAUCGUCUCUCGCAUAUCAAUAAGCGGAGGAAAAGAAACUAACAAGGAUUCCCCUAGUAACGGCGAGUGAAGCGGGAAGAGCUCAAAUUUGAAAUCUUAAAGGGUUUCCCUUUACGAAUUGUAGUUUAAAGAAGUGUUUUCUGUUGAGGUUUUGGUAAAAGUUCUUUGGAAUAGGACAUCAUAGAGGGUGAGAAUCCCGUAUUUGACCUUUACUUUCAACUUUGUGAUACACUUUCAAAGAGUCGGAUUGUUUGGGAAUGCAGUCCAAAAUGGGUGGUAAAUUUCAUCUAAAGCUAAAUAUUGGCGAGAGACCGAUAGCGAACAAGUACCGUGAGGGAAAGAUGAAAAGAACUUUGAAAAGAGAGUUAAACAGUACGUGAAAUUGUCAAAAGGGAAGCGUUUGACACCAGUGUUGUUUUUCUGAAAAUCAAUUAAAGAACUGUUUAUGCUAAGUUGUUUAGACUUUAUCAGCUAACUGUUUAGUUUUGAGCUUUUCUUUAAUGCACUUUUCAGUUAACAAGUCAACAUCAAUUUCUUUUGCUGUAAAAAAGCUUGAGGAAGGUGGCUUGAGAUUCGUCUUAAGUGUUUAUAGCCUCUUGCCUAUGCAAGUCGGAGAGAUUGAGGUCUGCAGCGUAGAUCCUUCGGGGCUAAAUGCAUUUGUGCUAAGUUAUAGCAUUUUAUAGACAACUUGUUGACUACGAUUUGUCUUGUAGCUUACUCGCUUAUGUUAUUUUACCUACGCUUAGGAUGUUGAGUAGCGACAUACGCAC